rnacentral:rRNA from 1 species
GGGUUUCGGCUCGUAAAGCUCUGUUGUUAAAGAAGAACGUGGGUAAGAGUAACUGUUUACCCAGUGACGGUAUUUAACCAGAAAGCCACGGCUAACUACGUGCCAGCAGCCGCGGUAAUACGUAGGUGGCAAGCGUUAUCCGGAUUUAUUGGGCGUAAAGCGAGCGCAGGCGGUCUUUUAAGUCUAAUGUGAAAGCCUUCGGCUCAACCGAAGAAGUGCAUUGGAAACUGGGAGACUUGAGUGCAGAAGAGGACAGUGGAACUCCAUGUGUAGCGGUGAAAUGCGUAGAUAUAUGGAAGAACACCAGUGGCGAAGGCGGCUGUCUGGUCUGCAACUGACGCUGAGGCUCGAAAGCAUGGGUAGCGAACAGGAUUAGAUACCCUGGUAGUCCAUGCCGUAAACGAUGAUUACUAAGUGUUGGAGGGUUUCCGCCCUUCAGUGCUGCAGCUAACGCAUUAAGUAAUCCGCCUGGGGAGUACGACCGCAAGGUUGAAACUC